GACGAACGCUGGCGGCGUGCCUAAUACAUGCAAGUAGAACGCAGUUGCGAACGGGUGAGUAACGCGUAGGUAACUGCCUGGUAGCGGGGGAUAACUAUUGGAAACGAUAGCUAAUACCGCAUCCUACCAGAUGGACCUGCGUUGUAUUAGCUAGUUGGGUGGGUAACGGCUCACCAAGGCAACGAUACAUAGCCGACCUGGGUGGGUGGUCGGCCAAACUGGGACUUAGACACGGCCCAGAGUCCCACGGGGGGCAGCAGUAGGGGAACUUCGGCAAUUGACGGAAGGCUUACCGAGCAACGCCGCGUGAGUGAAGAAGGUUUUCGGAUCGUAAAGCUCUGUUGUAAGAGAAGCGGUAUCUUACCAGAAAGGGACGGCUAACUACGUGCCAGCAGCCGCGGUAAUAC
rnacentral:rRNA from 1 species